rnacentral:rRNA from 1 species
AACGAACGCUGGCGGCAGGCUUAACACAUGCAAGUCGAACGCUCGUAGCAAUACGGGAGUGGCGGACGGGUGAGUAACGCGUGGGAACGUGCCCUGAGGUACGGAAUAACUGCGGGAAACUGCAGCUAAUACCGUAUGAGCCCCUAACGGGGGAAAGAUUUAUCGCCUUGGGAGCGGCCCGCGUCGGCUUAGCUAGUUGGUGGGGUAACGGCCUACCAAGGCUUCGAUCCGUAGCUGGUCUGAGAGGACGAUCAGCCACACUGGGACUGAGACACGGCCCAGAGUCCGACGGGAGGCAGCAGUGGGGAAUCUUGCGCAAUGGGGGCAACCCUGACGCAGCCAUGCGGCGUGAAUGAUGAAGGCCUUAGGGUUGUAAAGUUCUUUUGCCCGUGACGAUGAUGACGGUAACGGGAGAAUAAGCUCCGGCUAACUUCGUGCCAGCCGCCGCCGUAAAAC